GCCUUCUUACCUUAGUGGUAGAGCGUUGCACUUGUUAACAUGCAUGCGUUGAGCUGCUUACAAUGCAAAUGCCAGUCGUUCAAUCCGGCUAGGAGACA